UCCUGUUGUAUUGUGGUUUGCCCCUUCACUCUGUGCCAGUUCAUUGUUUCCCAUGCCAGUGUUUCUUGUGCCCCCUGUGUUUUGUGGAUUCACUUUGGAUUUACUUUCAGUUGGACCUUUUGGAUUAUUCCCCUGUUGUGUUUUGGGCUGCUCACACCAUAUCAACUAUGUCUACAUGGUCGGAGGGUGGCCGAUGUCCAGUCUCCUCUGUGCGGAGCCUCUUUUCCGGGCAGCUGGUACAGCGCUGACUACACUUCCCAGUGUGCCUGGGGUCUGGAAGAAAGCCUUAGCAGCAGACGAUGUGGUUUCCUUUGGUGUCUGUGAAGCAUCUCCUUCUGCGCCGUCGUCCUCGUGCCCCGCUCCGGCCUCUCUGGCCUCGGUGGCCAACGCCAUCUGGAUGUGGUAGCCCUGCUGCCGACCCCUCCGCUGCAGCUCCUCCAGCGUGGCCUCCAGCCGCUGACGGCCGUACCAGGUGUAGCUGUUCUUGGCUAUCCGACCCACAAUCAUCAGAGACUCUAAUACGUUGACGAUGUCAUAGAUACGCCGCCGCUCCACUCCUGACAAGUUCAACAGAAGAGCAGAGAACUGAUCUGCCCGUUCUUAGAA